AGAUCCGGAAGCUGCUAAUCCAAUAAAUGAUAUAAUAGCAACUAAUAUCAUUUUUGAAGAUUUGCCAAUAGAUAGUCAGAAUAUUGUUUCUAUCCUGCAAAACACGAUUACGAUUAAAAAAUUAUUGGAACAACAGAAUACAUUUUUAGCACAAUUAAACAAUACAAAUUAUAAUACGAUUCCACUCUGCUCUCAGCAUCUGGUUUAAACAGUAAUAACACUAAUUUUUCUAUUAUUCCGAACAAACCUUUUAAGAAAUUUACAAAAUUACUUGAUUAUGAUACGGCAUUAAAAACUAAUGAGGAACGACAAAAACAACUGGAAACAUUUUUCUAUUUAUUAGGAGGUACUUCUCCCCAGGACCAAAUAAAAGCUGGGUUACAAAAAGUAUUCACUAAUAAAUUGAGUACAAAAUGUUCCUGGAUGGGUCGCAAAGGCAAUUUUGAAGUAAAGACACUAAUAAUCAUAGACAUUUUAAAACAUAAAUAGAAAUUUAAAAAUAUGUAAGCUGAAUUAUCGUACCAGUACUGUACAUAUUAAUAUUUUUCGUUUGUAGGAUCGACUAGAAAACACUUUCCAUUUUUGACUGAAAAACAAUUUCAGAGCUACGUGUCAAUUUGGUUUAGGCACUCAAAAACUCGCUACAACAAA